AUGCUUCAUUUUCCUCUCUGGUUUCUACAUAGAGGAGUCAUUUUAACAAGAGAUAAUCUGGCACGACGAAACUGGCAUGGUUCUAAGACAUGUGUCUUUUGCCAACAUGACGAGACUAUUAGACACUUAUUCUUUGAGUGCAAAUUCGCUCGGGCAGUUUGGGCCAUAGUUCAAGUAGCUUCUAAUUUAUACCCACCACGUAGUGCACGGAAUAUGUUCGGCAACUGGUUGCGGGGUAUUGAUAAACAAUUUUCUGCACUAUUCUCGUGGGAGGGGCGGCCUUAUGCUGGGCACUGUGCCUUACCAGGAAUGAUGUGA
rnacentral:rRNA from 1 species